rnacentral:rRNA from 1 species
UACGUAGGUGGCAAGCGUUGUUCGGAAUUAUUGGGCGUAAAGGGCGCGUAGGCGGCAUGUUAAGUCGGCUGUGAAAGCCUGGGGCUCAACCCCAGAGGGUCGGCCGAUACUGGCAAGCUAGAGUACGGAAGAGGUAGCUGGAAUUCCCGGUGUAGCGGUGAAAUGCGUAGAUAUCGUAAGGAAGACCAGUGGCGAAGGCGGGUCUCUGGACAGUUCCUGACGCUGAGGCACGAAGGCCAGGGGAGCGAAACAGGG